UACGAGGGGGGCGAGCGUUGUUCGGAAUUAUUGGGCGUAAAGGGUGCGUAGGCGGUUUGGUAAGUCUUGUGUGAAAUCUUCGGGCUCAACUCGAAGUCUGCACGAGAAACUGCCGGGCUUGAGUAUGGGAGAGGUGAGUGGAAUUCCCGGUGUAGCGGUGAAAUGCGUAGAUAUCGAGAGGAACACCUGCGGCGAAGGCGGGUUGCUGGGCCGACACUGACGCUGAUGCGCGAAAGCCAGGGGAGCGAACGGG
rnacentral:rRNA from 1 species